CUCUCUAAGAAGCUGUUUUUCCCUGAUGUCCCUUGAGCUGUAAGAUUCCGAAGUACCCUGGAAUGGAGAAGCAUGGAGAGAGUUCCUGCUUCCCCACUCCAGCUGUAUCUGAGCCAGCAUGGCCUCUGCCCACAACUAGGUGGGGCAUGUGAAGAGCACUGUGCCCAGGUAUUGGGGCAGAGGGCAGGUGCCAGGGAGAGCGGGCUGGACCAGGUCACUACAGCAAAGCCACAGGGCAGCAAGCAGUUGAAAGGAGAGGCUUUGGAGUCAGGCGGAUCUGAAUUUCAACCUCCAGUUGUUCCAUUGUGAGACUUUGAGACCUAGGGAAGAAGAAAAAUCGUGUUUCCAGCUUGGGCUGCUGUUUCAUCUGCUGGACUUGCUUGAGCCCUGAAUGGAAAGGAUUACUAUGCACACUUUUUGGAUACAGAAACUGAGAUUCAGAGAGGUUAAACAACUUUCCUAAAGCCACACAGCGAGAGUCCAUCUGAACUGAAGAUUGUUUGACAUCAAAGCUCAUUUCUUUCCCUAAAUGUCAGCAUUCUCUCCUGACUUAUUCAUUUGAUUUCUGUCUUUCCCUCAUGGAAGUUAAUUAAAGGAAUGCGAGAACCUUUUAGAAAAUCUCCA